GGUGGCUUAAUGGUAAAAGUGCUUGCCUUGCAUGCAUGAGGCCCUGGGUUCGAUCCCCAGCACCA
rfam:Dipodomys ordii contig_16402, whole genome shotgun sequence.